ensembl:lncRNA
GUGAGUAGCAGUGGGAGAUGAAAUCUUGGUUGGGGCACCGGUUGCUUUUCGGGUCACGGGUGGCGCGGUUUGACCUUGAAUCCAUCGGAGUCACGUCCGAGCUCAUUCCGGUAUAGGACAGGGUGGUCAGAUGUUGAGGUCACUGAGAAACUCUUUACGAACCCACACAAGCCCUCGAGUUCAGGAGCAGAGGGCAGCAAGGGGCCGAUGUUCAACUCUAUAUAACCCAUUGCUGCAUAACCCAGGCAGAUUGCAGCCUCCUCGGCUCUCUCUCCAUCGGCCCUGACACGUCCUCAUUCAGCCAUUAUUCAUCCUGUUGCUGCUCCCCAUCAAUCCCCCGCCGGCACAAUGGCCCGUGACAGCAGCACCGACAGGCCCGUGACAGGUCUGUGCCACCCGGGAGGCCUGUCCCAGCCAGCCAGCCCACGACGCCGGAGAGGACAAACAGACGUGAACAUGCACAGCUCACCCCCCCCCCUCAUCCGCCCCUCACCCACCCACUUCCCAAACCUAGUUGGCGCCUGGCUGUUCAGCCCCACCCUCUUACCUGCCUGCAGGCCUGGAUUACAUCCUCCGCAUCGUACUGUACAAACACGGCCGAGGGGCUCUGACUCCGGCAUUGUCGGCCUCUCUGUCGGCAUGCCGCUUCGGUCUAGACUGCUAGACCUCGGCAGCUAAAUGGGGGGGGACGCGGGGGGGUUGCCAAGAAAUUAUCCCCAGGGGAUGAAGCUUGCUGACUUUGGAAAUCCUCUGACUUUUUUUCUGUAGUGCCACCAUGAGGACAUUAAAUGGAGUUUUUCAAUUGAAGUUCUCCGUAGGUUACAUCAUUGCAUCAAUGACUCUUUAAGUGGUCCCGGGAAACUGCAGGUUUUUGACCAGGUUCCUUUAAAGAUAAAAAGCCUUUCACAAUAUGACAUCCUUCAACAAUCUGUCGUCUUCAUUACGGCCUUUUUCUCUUGUGAUUUUGAAUCUCCAGUAGCUUUGUUUCACGGUUCAUACCAUGAGCCUUUAGUUUCUAACCAUUUUGCCAAACCACAAACCAACCAUAAAGUUGUCUUUUUUAAACUUUGUUUCAACCUUUUAAAAGUGUUUUUCCUUCGAC